rnacentral:rRNA from 1 species
CGACUGUUUAUCAAAAACAUAUUUAAUAGAUAUUAUUAUUAAUAAAACCUGCUCAAUGAAUUUUAAAUAGCCGCAGCUCAUACUGUGCUAAGGUAGCAUAAUCAUUAGUCUCUUAAUUAGAAACUAGAAUGAAAGGUUUAACAUUUAAAUUUCUUUAAUAAAAUUCAAUUUUAAAUUUAUUUUAAAUGUAAAAAAACAUUUAUCUUUUAGAAAGACGAUAAGACCCUAUUGAACUUUACUGAAGUUUAACUGGGGCAGUUAAUUAAUAAUAAUUUUAAUUUACAAUCUUAAAAAAAUGACCCAAUACAAUUGAUUACAUGAUCAAGCUACCAUAGGGAUAACAGAGUAAUAUUUUUCUAUAGCUCUUAUAUAAAAAAAUGAUUACGACCUCGAUGUUGAAUUAAUUUUUCUAAAAAAUGCACCAAUUUUAAAAGAAAGUCUGUUCGACUUUUAAACAAUUACAUGAUUUGAGUUCAGACCGGUGUAAACCAGGUCGGUUUCUAUCUU